rnacentral:rRNA from 1 species
AGAGGAAGUAAAAGUCGUAACAAGGUUUCCGUAGGUGAACCUGCGGAAGGAUCAUUAACGUACCUCUGACGGUGAGGGUGCGCCCUGCUCCGACCCGAUGCGGUCGUGCAGCGGGUGCGCCCGAGCCGCUCAACUUUGCAAACCCACCGUGCACCUUUGUCGGCGGAGGGGUCCCAGUGGCCCCGAGCCGGAUCGCAGACCAAACGAAAGACCCUAGAGUAUGAACCAGCGGACGUAGCGCCGCAUAGACUUAGUAACAACUUUCAACAACGGAUCUCUUGGCUCUCGCAUCGAUGAAGAACGCAGCGAAAUGCGAUAAGUAAUGUGAAUUGCAGAAUUCAGUGAAUCAUCGAAUCUUUGAACGCACCUUGCGCUCCUUGGUAUUCCGAGGAGCAUGCCUGUUUGAGUGUCUUGAAUUCAUCGACCCCCUACCCGUUUUGUGCGGAGAGGACGGUCGGAUCUGGGGCCUGCCGCCGUCUGGUGGCUCCCCUCAAAUGCAUCGGUUGGGCCUGAGGGUCGAACUCGGUUGGGCGUUGUACCAUCCUCGCUCUUGUCCGAGACGUUCCCCUUUCGCUGAGCCCCUCCCUGGACCACCUGUGGAGUGGUGGUCCACCCGAACUUUUCGAAAUCUGACCUCAAAUCAGGUAGGACUACCCGCUGAACUUAAGCAUAUCAU